rnacentral:rRNA from 1 species
GACGAACGCUGGCGGCGUGCUUAACACAUGCAAGUCGAACGGAAAGGCCCCUUUGGGGGUACUCGAGUGGCGAACGGGUGAGUAACACGUGAGUAACCUGCCCUUGACUUCGGGAUAACUUCAGGAAACUGGGGCUAAUACCGGAUAGGAAUCCUUGCUGCAUGGUGGGGGUUGGAAAGCUUCGGCGGUUUUGGAUGGACUCGCGGCUUAUCAGCUUGUUGGUGGGGUAGUGGCUUACCAAGGCUUUGACGGGUAGCCGGCCUGAGAGGGCGACCGGCCACAUUGGGACUGAGAUACGGCCCAGACUCCUACGGGAGGCAGCAGUGGGGAUAUUGCACAAUGGGCGGAAGCCUGAUGCAGCAACGCCGCGUGCGGGAUGACGGCCUUCGGGUUGUAAACCGCUUUCAGCAGGGGCGAAGCUUGUGGUGACGGUACCUGCAGAAGAAGCACCGGCUAACUACGUG